rnacentral:misc_RNA from 1 species
ACCCAACACUGGCACUGCCGUACACUCACCAACAACUACACACGUGAUGCAGUCCGAGGGACGAAACAACGCCGGUUGACUGCUCAUGGUGCAUGGAGAAAAGUAUGGAUACACAACUUAAAGUGAUCCAAACUACAACGGUAGUACCUUUAACCUGGCCCAAGCCUAAUCUUACAAGUUACUACGAAUAAACAUGACGGGGAGCAGAAUAGGUUCGCAAAUUCCCCAUGUUUCAACCUUUGAAACCAUAACACUAACGAAGUAACACAACGGAUAGUAAAAAUAGCAACUCACGAGGUUUCUAAAAUGCCCACAACACGUACGAUUUCUAAGAACCCUUCGGAAGGGAAACACGAAUAUUAAAUAUCGAGCCAAAACGGUCGUGGCUAGACUUAUUUCCGGGACGUGCACAGCACCGCAUCGAACUCCUCCUUAUGUUUUGCAAUAACACAUCCACAAAUUUUCCUGCACGAUGGACCAACUAGGACGGUCAUCAG